CAGCCACCACAGCUCCCUCAGCCAAUAUGUCCAUUGGCCUUUUUCCACACUCCAUAGUGGAGACUCUACUAUCCAUGGAUUGAUAAAUGGAGUCAACAAUGCUGUCAAAUAAAAAUGCCUCCAAUUUUACUCCUACAACUCAUCUAGAGGGAAGGGGAAAAGAUUCUCUAUCCAUGAAUUCAACCGCCCUUUGACACAACCAUAAGGCUGAUGUGGACCUCAAUGAAAAUGAGUCUGACAUCCCUGAGGUAGGAUGUUUAAUAAAAGAUAAAGGUUUCCCCUGAC